AGUCUUAAGAAACUAUUUAAGAUAAUGCCUGCCCAGUGCUUGUAGUAAACGGCCGCAGUACCUUGACUGUGCUAAGGUAGCAUAAUCAGUUGGCUUUUAAAUGGAGUCGGGAAUGAAUGGAUCUAUAGGGCACCGCUGUCUCUUAUAUAUUUUAUUGAACUUACUAAUUAGGUGAAAAUGCCUAAAAUUAGAAAAAAGACGAGAAGACCCUAGGAGUUUUGACAAAUUUUUAAAUAAUUUAAUUACUGUUUUUGUUGGGGCGACAAAGGAUUAGAUAUAUAACUUCCUUUAAUCAAUUUGCCGACUUUGUAUGUGAAAUUAAACUACCCUAGGGAUAACAGCGUAAUUCUUUUAGAGCUUGCGACCUCGAUGUUGGACUAGGAAUUCGUUUGGCUAGCCGCCAAUUUGCAUUGUUCUG
rnacentral:rRNA from 1 species